AUGAUCAUCAUACUUACACAUGAGGGGGAAGCAGAUUCAACUGUACUCUUCAUUUGGAAAUGGCUGCCACAUGGAAAACAGCUCCUGUGUAUCUGUGGCUCAAGAUGUUCGGAAGAAUUGACCUUUCCUUUUGAGGAGGACUGCCACUGGCCACACUCCUCUGGAGAAGGCCCAUCAGGAAUGAAAGGCUCUUGGAAAUCACAUUUGAAAAGGUCAGGGCGCACCCAGAAUGAACUGGACCUGCUAGUCUGACAAACAACAUGCUAUUUCUUAUACCUCCAUCUCGUCUGACAGGGAAAAAGAAACAGCAAGCUCUGUUGAAACCGGAGUGUGUAAAAAUACUUCAAUGCACAGUGUCUCUGCAUUUUUUCCCCCCUUUAGCUUAUCAAGGUUUGCACACUUCAGCUUGCAUGCUGAUGUAUUUCAGACCUUAUCCUGAGAUAGUUUGAAUGAUAUUUCUGACUAAAUCUAAAAAAUAAAAAAAUAAAAACACAUAACAACAACUGAACUUUCAAAAAAAAAAAAAAAACUAAUUUGCAGCUUGUGUUAAUGAUGCAAUGGAUCUGCAUAAUGCACUUAUAUUAAUGUGACUCCACAAAAAUAGCACAAGGUCACGACUCUCAUCUGCAAAAAUCAAGGCAAUCCCAGGUUAAGCAAGACCAAACAGCUAAAGCUAUGCAGACUAGAUUAACAGGUAAUAUUGCAUUUCUAAAACUAAACCAGCUACUGCUUGGAAAUCUGAUGUUUAAUUGGGUGUAUAUUCUGGUGUAUUUUUGGUUUGAAGGUUGAGUGCUAUUUACACAUGCAAACACCCACACAAAGCUAAAAACAAAGAGCUCUUUAUGACAACAGUGUCACACAUCCAAGAAUAUUUGGAAUAUUUGGUCACUUUGUUGUUCUUGCGAAUAAAACACUGACACAAUGAAUAACAAGUACAUUAACAUUGCAAUAACAUUGAUUUAUUGAAUAAUUAAGUAAGUAUAAUUCCUUAAUUUACCUUUGUAAAGAAAUUUCAUUGCUCUCUGCUGUCUUUACCGU
ensembl:lncRNA